AUUCAGGGAUGGGAAUCGAACCCACAGUGUUCCGCUUACCGGGCAGAUGCCAUGUCCACUAGGCUACCCUGGA